CUACGUGCCAGCAGCCGCGGUAAUACGGAGGGUGCGAGCGUUAAUCGGAAUAACUGGGCGUAAAGGGCACGCAGGCGGACUUUUAAGUGAGGUGUGAAAGCCCCGGGCUUAACCUGGGAAUUGCAUUUCAGACUGGGAGUCUAGAGUACUUUAGGGAGGGGUAGAAUUCCACGUGUAGCGGUGAAAUGCGUAGAGAUGUGGAGGAAUACCGAAGGCGAAGGCAGCCCCUUGGGAAUGUACUGACGCUCAUGUGCGAAAGCGUGGGGAGCAAACAGGAUUAGAUACCCUGGUAGUCCACGCUGUAAACGAUGUCGAUUUGGGGGUUGAACUUUAAGUUUGGCGCCCGUAGCUAACGUGAUAAAUCGACCGCCUGGGGAGUACGGCCGCAAGGUUAAAACUCAAAUGAAUUGACGGGGGCCCGCACAAGCGGUGGAGCAUGUGGUUUAAUUCGAUGCAACGCGAAGAACCUUACCUACUCUUGACAUCCAGA
rnacentral:rRNA from 1 species